GUUGGAUAUUGAUGGUAUGAGAAGGGAGUGAACAACUGAAACCCUUCUUCCGGAUUCAGUAGGUCACCAGUCAUUGGUGAGCUCUAGGGAGAAGCCAUGCGGAAGGGUACAUAUUUUAUUAUAAUGAGGCAGGUAGGAGGUGAAACCAUCAAGACUAGCACGUGGGACUUUUUUUUCAAGAUACUUGGCAGCAAAGAGGUCAGGAAGGUAGGGCAGUGCCUGGAAGAGAGUGUGUGUGUGUUGGACAGAGAGACCAUUUCAUUUUCGUUUUAGAUACAGAGACUUGGAUAUAUUCAAAUGCUGAUGGAAAAGAAUCUUGUACAAGACGGAGUCUCGCUCUGUCGCCAGGCUGGAGUUCGAUGGCAUGAUCUCGGCUCACUGCAACCUCUGCCUCCUGGGUUCAAGUGAUUCUCCUGCCUCAACCUCCCAAGUAGCUGGGACUGCAGGCACAUGCCACCACGCCCAGCUUAUUUUUGUAUUUUUAGUAGAGACGGGGUUUCCCCAUGUUGGCCAGGAAACUCUCCAACUCUUGACCUCUUGAUCCACCCGCCUCGGCCUCCCAAAGUGCUGGGAUUACAGGUGUAAGCCACCGUGCCUGGCCUAGAGUUAACAUUUUUCAUAUUUAGAACCCUUUUUAUACAUUAAGGAGAACAAUGCAGUUUACCUUCAAAGUAAAGAUUAAUAUUAUUUUGGUUACAUGGAUAAGUUAUUUAGUGGUGAUUUCUGAGAUUUUGGUGCACCUGUUACCCAAGCAGCUGUUAUCCAAUCUUCAAAGUAAAGAUUAAUAUUAGAUAAGGAUUCCACACUAAUUUAAUUUAUAGCCUUUUGAAGAAAGAUGAAUUACAAUUUAGAAAUCAUUUUCACACUUAUUUUUGCUAUUAAUCCUAUAACUCUCUUUCUUAUGUCAUUAUGUAAAACCGCAUUAAAUAAUCACUUACCAAAAGAAGUCAUUUGAAAUAUGGUUCCUCACUAUGACUAAGAAUAUAAUACAUUUAUCUUAUUCCCAUUAUUUAAGUCAUCCUUAUUUAAUAGCACUUAGCAAUACCUUAGUAGAAUGCUUUUCCACAUUUUUCACUUGCGUGGGCCAAUUAAAACCAUAAUUCUUAGAAUAACUCCUAAACACAAACAAUUAAAGCUAUUGAGGACUAUUCAGGUCUUAUAAACUGCAACCCUGCUUUCAAGGUGAUGUUUGUGCUGAUUUGCAUUGUACAAAUGAUUGUAGAAUUAACCAGUGCUUACAAUCAGUGUGACAUUGGGCAAAUUGUUCAAAACAUCUUAAACCCCAUAUUCCUUUUCUAUAAAGCAGGAUUAGACAUAUCUAUCUUUGCAAAGUUACUGUAAAUAUUUGAAGUGUUUAUUUAUUACAAACCUGUGUUGCCUGGCCCGCAUUAAUGGGCUUUGAAAGUAGGGUAGGCAUCUGCUGUGUUACAAUGGGCU
rnacentral:lncRNA from 1 species